AAGUCGUAACAAGGUUUCCGUAGGUGAACCUGCGGAAGGAUCAUUAAAUAAUCAAUAAUUUUGGCUUGUCCAUCAUUAUCUAUUUACUGUGAAACGUAUUAUUACUUGACGCCUGAGGGAUGUUCCAUUGCUAUAAGGAUAGGCAGUGGAAAUGUUAACCGAGUCAUAAUCAAGCUUAGGCUUGGUAUCCUAUUAUUAUUUACCAAAAGAAUUCAGAAUUAAUAUUGUAACAUAGACGUAAAAAAUCUAUAAAACAACUUUUAACAACGGAUCUCUUGGUUCUG
rnacentral:misc_RNA from 1 species